UACAGAGGGUGCAAGCGUUAAUCGGAAUUACUGGGCGUAAAGCGCGCGUAGGCGGUUUGUUAAGUCAGCUGUGAAAGCCCCGGGCUCAACCUGGGAAUUGCAGUUGAUACUGGCAAGCUAGAGUGUGGUAGAGGGUAGUGGAAUUCCAGGUGUAGCGGUGAAAUGCGUAGAUAUCUGGAGGAACAUCAGUGGCGAAGGCGGCUACCUGGACCAACACUGACGCUGAGGUGCGAAAGCGUGGGGAG
rnacentral:rRNA from 1 species